rnacentral:rRNA from 1 species
GACGAACGCUGGCGGCGUGCUUAACACAUGCAAGUCGAGCGGUAAGGCCCUUUCGGGGGUACACGAGCGGCGAACGGGUGAGUAACACGUGGGUGACCUGCCCUCAGCUCUGGGAUAAGCCUGGGAAACCGGGUCUAAUACUGGAUAUGACUCCAUGACGCAUGUUGUGGGGUGGAAAGCCUUGUGCGGCUGAGGAUGGGCCCGCGGCCUAUCAGCUUGUUGGUGGGGUGAGGCCUACCAAGGCGACGACGGGUAGCCGGCCUGAGAGGGCGACCGGCCACACUGGGACUGAGACACGGCCCAGACUCCUACGGGAGGCAGCGGUGGGGAAUCUUGCGCAAUGGGCGAAAGCCUGACGCAGCGACGCCGCGUGAGGGAUGACGGCCUCGG